rnacentral:rRNA from 1 species
AUGGCACUCUACUCAGAUCAUCAUGCUUAUGUGAGCAACACUACAAACAACACGGAAAGUAUUCAAGAACUGAUAAGUAAGAUUUGCCAUCGAUUAGAUGAUUUAGCUCGGCAACGAGAAGUAGUUUUUGAGGAUAGGCCUACCUCUUAUGAUCCUUAUUCUAGAGGCCAUCCUUAUGUUGCUCCUACUUGCCAUAUUUGUCGAUUUCAGGGCCAUUCUCCUGCUGAAUUUCAGCGAGGUUACUCUCACACUCCAUAUUGUUUUGGCAUGAGCUUCACUCAAGAGCAUAGCUUAUACCAAAACAAUUACUCACAUGGGUGGCCUGAAAACCCGAAAAUGUCAUAUAGGAGCAACAACCCUGAGAUCUCAUCGUUUCCUCUAGUUAUCCAAUGCAAGGAUUUAGGUACAAUGAGGAGAGCCACAACUAUGCUCCACAAUAGAUUUAUUCAGCUCCUAUUCAUAUACCUCAAUACCAGGAGAUGUUGCCAAUGGAGUUAA